UACGUAGGGGGCUAGCGUUGUCCGGAAUCAUUGGGCGUAAAGCGCGCGUAGGUGGCCCGGUAAGUCCGCUCUGAAAGUCACAGGCUCAACCUGUGAAAGCGGGUGGAUACUGCCGGGCUAGAGUCCGGAAGAGGCGAGUGGAAUUCCUGGUGUAGCGGUGGAAUGCGCAGAUAUCAGGAGGAACACCAACGGCGAAGGCAGCUCGCUGGGACGGUACUGACACUGAGGCGCGAAAGCGUGGGGAGCGAACAGG
rnacentral:rRNA from 1 species